CGCACGGGUGAGUAACACGUAUCCAACCUGCCGUCUACUCUUGGCCAGCCUCCUGAAAGGAAGAUUAAUCCAGGAUGGCAUCAUGAGUUCACAUGUCCGCAUGAUUAAAGGUAUUUUCCGGUAGACGAUGGGGAUGCGUUCCAUUAGAUAGUAGGCGGGGUAACGGCCCACCUAGUCAACGAUGGAUAGGGGUUCUGAGAGGAAGGUCCCCCACAUUGGAACUGAGACACGGUCCAA
rnacentral:rRNA from 1 species